UGACCCACCGAUAAACCAUGAGCGUCGUGAGCUUGAUGCGGUCGCGAGUAAUGACGUCAUCUAUGACGUUGUGAACGCGACCAUAAUCGUCGCGGUCGUUAUGUGGAACGGGUUUUCAGGCGUUGCGAGCGUUGUGGGCGAUAAGUGGAACGCACUCUUAGCUUGACCUUGCUGUUGCCGCGCGCGUGAGAUGUGUGCGAACAUGUGAUUCGCGUUACGAUGCUGAUAGAAGCAAGAGACGCAGAAGAUGUAGAAAUGUGAUAAAUCGAAAACUUUUGGGACGUCAAAACUGAGACAUUCUAUUAUAUAUUCGUCUUCUUUGAUCAACACGCAGCUCGUCAUACAUUUCCGUCAUAUAAUUCUUCUUAGAAGUUUACAAAGCUAUUUUUGUCAUCCUCGAUUGUAUAGUGAAAGGAAAAUAAUGAGAACUUAUAAAAUAAAGACAAAUAGAGCCUCUGUACCGAAAAAUAUUAUAUUGAGAGCCAUAAAAGGAGUAAUAGAAAAUAACGAAAGUUAUAAAAGCAUGUCAGAUUUAUAUAAUAUACCAAAACGAUCUUUAGUUAGAUAUUGCAAGCAAUAUAGAAAUGCAAAUAUUGAUGCAGCGAGCACAUCAAAUCAAAAUAAAUCUCUCAAUGUAGGAUACAAAAAUUGUACGAAACAGAUUUUUACUGAUAUAGAAGAAGAAGCCAAAUUAGAAAAAUAUCUCAUGAAAUGCUGUGAUAUUUAUUUUGAACUAUCACCAAAAGAAGUGUGGAAGCUAGCAUACCAAUAUGCUGUUGCUAUAAAAGCAAAAAUUCCUGAAAACUGGACAAAGAACACUAUGGACCAGAUUGGUUUAGUAAAUUUAUGGUACGCCAUAAGAAACUAAGCAUAAGAACGCCAGAGGCAACAAGCUUAGCUUGUGCUACAACUUUUAAUCGCACCAAUGUACAAUUAUUUUUUGACAACUUGAUAAACGUCUUGACACAAUUUAAUUUACAACCGUGUGACGUAUAGAAUAUGGACAAAACGGGAGUGUUUACUAUACAAAAACCAAACAGGAUAGUGGGAAGACGUGGCUUAAAACAAAUUGAGCGUUUGACUUCUGCAGAGAGAGGACAACUUGUUACUGUGGCUUGUGCUGUAUCAGCUAGUGGCAAUUCUGUUCCACCAUUUUUUGUGUUCUCUAGAGUUCACUUCAAGGAUCAUUUUAUUCGUGAUGGUCCUAUAGGUUGUGCUGGUGGAGCCAAUCAAUCAGGAUGGAUAAAUGAAGAAAAUUUUCUUUUGUACCUGGCUCAUUUUGUUAAGAAUGUGAGGCCCAUCCAAACUAAUUGCUACUUUUAUUAGAUAAUCAUGACUCUCAUUUGUCAACUAAUGCUCUUGAUUUUGCCAAGAAAAAUGGAAUUGUUAUGUUGUCAUUUUCACCUCACUGUUCUCAUAAGAUGCAAUCACUAGAUGUCAGCGUUUACGGUUCUUUAAAAAAAUAUCUAAAUACUGCUCUUGAUUCAUGGAUGUUAAAUCAUCCAGGCAAAACUCUCAGCAUCUAUAAUAUUCCUGGUAUCAUUAGAGACGUUUUGCCCUUAGCUGCAACACCUUCAAAUAUUAUGGCAGGUUUCAAAAAGCCAGGAAUUUGCCCAUUAAAUCCAAAUGCAUUUACUGACACGGAUUUUGCUCUAUCAUUUGUAACAGAUAGACCUGUACCACCUGAGCAAUAGAAUAGAGUUGCAGUAUCAAAUGAACAAAGUUCAGCAGAGUAUUCAACAAUUGAUGUGCCGUUUUCUAAUCAAAAUGACUUGAGUAUUGAUGUUUUUGACAAUUAUGAGUUCAAAGAUAUUCCUGUUAUGUUAUCUAGUGUUGACAUUAAAGAUGUUACAAUAGCUAAUUGUGAAAUAAUUGACACAACUCCAGGAAAGUUUAUAAUUAUAUUUUUUAAUUAUAUUUUUUAAUUUAAAUUAAUUGAGAUCAUAUUUUUAUUUUCUUUUUUAUUUUUAUUUUCUACAAUAGAUAUAGAUGCAAUGUCAAACGAAAUAAGCUGUACAAUAUUACAACCUGAAUUUUCAACUUCUUGCGAGUCUACACAGCAUCAGGCUUGUGAAGGCAAGUUACAAACUAUUUUUGAUGAAGAAUAAGAAAUAGUUUAUUUUUAAUGAUGAGGAAAAUUGAGCUUGAGAGCCACGCAAGAUGUCAGGUGCGAAUAGAUAAAUAACA